rnacentral:tRNA from 1 species
UCCCUGGUGGCUCAGGUGGUAAAAAGCGUCUGCCUACAGCGCGGGAGACCCAGGUUCGAUCCCUGGGUUGGGAA